rnacentral:lncRNA from 1 species
UUUCAUAUGUCCACAUUUUGACUUAUCCCUUAAUAUAUGCUCUAAAAUAACUAAGAAACAAAAGAAGUACAUGAGACUAAACAUGAAGCCAUCCAACAAGUCCUCCAUUCUCUAAAAUAAACCACAGGCAAUGCAGCUGUCAAAUACUAGCUAUCGGUAAUGACAUAAUGACUUGGAUACAAGAGAUUUUCUGCAACUAAAUCUACUAAAUUAGUCAAUAAAAAAGGGGCCUGAGGGAUCAGGUGAAACAACGUCCAAGGAACAAUGCAAGUGUAAGAGGUGCGGAGAAUUUGGGCACCAUGCAAAGAUAUGAAAAAAUCCUAAGCUAGUUGCAGCACAAGGAGAAACCAGCUUAACUGAAGCUUCAACCUCUUCAGUUUACUGCUAGAGUGCCUGGCAGGUAACUAUAUCCCAUCCACUCCACUACUUGUCUCUAGUUUACUUCAUCUUGCAUUUGAUAGCUUUGGUAUUUGACACGUUGACGUGGUUCUAUAAAAUUUCUCAUCACUAUGUUGUUUAUUUGGUUCUAAUAAAUGGUAUGUAACAGGCCUAGGAAAAAGGAAGUGCUUCAGGUGCUUCAGGGGGUAGGAGUAGCAAUGGACCAUUUGCGCACACUAUUUUCAAUUCCCCCAAGACCAAAAGUACGAGCAAGGACCUGCCAGCAACCAUCAAGGAAAGAACCUUCUGGUGGCAUGGAUCAGACAUUCAUAUCUUAAUGGGUAUGUGUACUGAUCUAUUUGUUCCAAGUCUAUUAAAUAUAAUAGAUUAGUGUGUAUGAAAACAUUGUACUAACAAAACUCCAGGGUUGAUGUGCAGGUUUAAUGAUAUUGCCAUUUACACCCACCUGGUCAGAAGCAAGCCUGUGGCUUGUGUUUGAAACAAAAAUUGCAUAUUUUCCUCUUUGGAGUUGUAUGGCAGUCAAAAACUUCUAUUGGAUCAGGUCGUAGGAUGUCAUCUUUUGACUUUUGUCGUUUGUUUGGAUGGUAUGACAGGGGCUGGUAUAUGGCAGCCGUUGAAUGCUUUAUUUUUGUUCGAUGAGGCUGGUAUGCGACAACCAUUGAAAGUUUUAUUUUGUGUGAUAGGGCUGGUAGGUAACAGCCAUUGAAGGAUUUGAAUGUUUUUAUCUUAAAGCUAGUAUGAGACGAUUAAUAGUAGUUUGAAUUGUUGUGAUGGAACCAAUAUUGUGUCUGAAUGGCAGGAGUGGAUUCAGUCAUUUGGAUGGCUUAUAC